GAGGACCUCUGCUUCCGGCGCCGUAACUGCUGCCAUCUUCUCCGCGCUAUGGCUGCGUUCAGCCGUCAGGGAAAUUAAAGAGGGUGCUUUACUGUUGCCCUGAAAUUUUCACCAUGCGCCAGCAGGACAUUAAUGACACUGUCAGGCUUCUCAAGGAGAAGUGCCUUUUCACGGUACAGCAAGUCACCAGGAUUUUGCACAGUUGCCCCUCUGUUCUUCGAGAGGACCUGGGUCAACUGGAAUACAAGUUUCAGGUGAGAAUGACUGAUAGCGUGAUUAGCGUAGUUUCAGGUGAGAAUGACUGGUAAUGGGAUUAGCGUAGUUUCAGGUGAGAAUGACUGGUACCGUGAUUAGUGUAGUAACAGCAAGUUUCUCAGGUUUUUCAAAUGUAGUGAAGGUCAGUUAUAUGGAUAAGAAGCCUCGGACACCUCAUAUUUGAGUGGAGGAAGUGAAAGACUAGAUUCUCUGCAUACAUCAGCCAAAGAGAAAUCUUUAAUUUCUUUACUACAGAUCAAACCUAUUCUUCAACUUUUCUGCGAUUAAUAAUGAAUGAUUCAGUCCUAUUCUUAGA
rnacentral:sRNA from 1 species